CUGCACUAUACGGGGCGUUAGCGGUGCCUUGUAGCCUGCAAUCCGCUACAGCAGGGUAGAAUCCCCAGCAGAGGCUAUAAAUGGUUUGAGUCUGAUCUUAGCAAGUGGUGAUGACGAAAGGGUCUUGCACAAUAUAAACCUAUGAACCAUGUCAGGUCCGGAAGGAAGCAGCAUUAAGUAGUCAUUUGUAUGUGUUGCGAGGGUGCCUUUUCUGAGCAAACUACUAGGAUACGUCAAGGUGUUUCUAGUCGAAGCUGGGUGUGCAU
rnacentral:SRP_RNA from 1 species